rnacentral:rRNA from 1 species
AAUCAACGCUGGCGGCGUGCCUCAGACAUGCAAGUCGAACGAUUAAAGCUCCCUUCGGGGAGUGCAUAAAGUGGCGCACGGGUGAGUAACACGUAAGUAAUCUACCUUCGAGUGGGGAAU